rnacentral:rRNA from 1 species
GGGGGAAAAAUUAAUAGAUAAAAGUAAAAAAAAAAUUUUUAAUAAAAAUAUUUAGGGGGUUAAAGUAUUUUUAAAGAAAAAAUUAAUAAAUUUAUAGUUAAGUAGUAUUGUGAAAGAAUUUUGAAAUAAAUGAAAAUUAAUUUUUUAUAAAGUAAAUUUUAUUUAUUGUAUCUUGUGUAUCAGAGUUUAUUAAUAAAAUAUUAUGGGUAAAGUUUUCUCGAAUUUUAAAGAGUUAAUUAAUUAAUAAAGUUAAUGUUGAAUAAUUAUUUUAAAUAAUUAAUUAGAAAUGAAAUGUUAAUCGUUUUAAAAUAUAUCUAGUUUUUUUAGAAAUAAAUUUAAUUUAAAAUAUAAAUUAUUAAUUUUUUUUUAAAAAAAAAUUAAUAAUUUAUAUUUAAUAUUUUAAGGGAUAAGCUUUAAAAUAAAAUUUUAUAAUAAUUAUUUGUUUAUAUUAAAAUUUUAGAAUUUAAAUUGUUAAAAAAAUUAUAAUUUUUUAUAAAAAAUUUAAUAUAAAAUAAAAUUUAAAAGUAAAAUUUAAUUUUUUAUAAAAAAAUAAUUUUUAAUGAAUAAAAAUUAAUUAUAAUGAUAAAAUUAGUAUAUAUAUAUACAUUAUUUGUUUAUAUAAAUAUAAUAAUUAUAAAAAUAAAGAAAAUUAUAAUAAGGAAUUCGGCAAAAUUUUAUAUUCACUUGUUUAUCAAAAACAUGUCUUUUUGAAAAUAAUAUAAAGUCUAAUCUGCCCACUGAUAAAUUAUUAAAGGGCUGCAGUAUAUUGACUGUACAAAGGUAGCAUAAUCAUUUGUCUCUUAAUUGGUGACUUGUAUGAAAGAUUGGAUGAAAUAUGAACUGUCUCAUUUUAAUUUAUAAAACUUAAUUUUUUAGUAAAAAAGCUAAAAUAAAUUUAAAAGACGAGAAGACCCUAUAGAGUUUUAUAAUUUUAUUUAAAAAUAAAAAAAUAUAAAUUUUUAAAUUAAAUUUAAUUGAAUUAUUUUGUUGGGGUGACAAAAAAAUUUAAUUAACUUUUUUUAAAAAAUUACAUUGAUUUAUGAGAAAAUGAUCCAUUAAUAAUGAUUAUAAGAAAAAAUUACCUUAGGGAUAACAGCGUAAUUUUUUUUUUUAGGUCAAAUAAGAAAAAAAGUUUGCGACCUCGAUGUUGGAUUAAGAUAAAAUUUAAAUGCAAAAGUUUAAAAUUUUGAUCUGUUCGAUCAUUAAAAUCUUACAUGAUCUGAGUUCAAACCGGUGUAAGCCAGGUUGGUUUCUAUCUUUAAGAAAAUAAAAUAUUUUAGUACGAAAGGAUUAAAUAUUUAAAAUAAUUUUUAAAAAAAAUGAAUAUUAAUAAAUAAUUAUAAUUAUAUAUAUAUAUAUAUAUA